GAUGAAGAACGUAGCGAAAUGCGAUAAGUAAUGUGAAUUGCAGAAUUCAGUGAAUCAUCGAAUCUUUGAACGCACCUUGCGCCCUUUGGCUAUUCCGAAGGGCAUGCCUGUUUGAGUAUCAUGAACAUCUCAACUCCUCACGGUUCGCCCGUGACGAGCUUGGACUUUGGGGGUCUUGCCGGCCUGCGGGUCGGCUCCUCUCAAAUGAAUCAGCUUGCCGGUGUUUGGUGGCGUUACAGGUGUGAUAAAUAUCUACGCUUGUGGUUUUCCGCCAGGUAACCUCCAGCGAUGGGGGUUCACUGGAGCUCACGAAUGUCUCUCCUCGGUGAGGACAGCUCUUUGAACGUUUGAUCUCAAAUCAGGUAGGGCUACCCGCUGAACUUAAGCAUAUCAAUAAGCGGAGGA
rnacentral:misc_RNA from 1 species